UUUACAGCGGAGAGUUUGAUCCUGGCUCAGGACGAACGCUGGCGGCGUGCUUAACACAUGCAAGUCGAGGGUACGCAAGUACACUGGCGCACGGGUGAGUAACGCGUAGGGAUCUACCUAUA
rnacentral:rRNA from 1 species